AUCGAACGCUGGCGGCAGGCUUAACACAUGCAAGUCGAGCGAGCGGCGGACGGGUGUGUAAUGUCUGGGAAACUGCCUGAUGGAGGGGGAUAACUACUGGAAACGGUAGCUAAUACCGCAUACCAUCGGAUGUGCCCAGAUGGGAUUAGCUAGUAGGUGGGGUAAAGGCUCACCUAGGCGACGAUCCCUAGCUGGUCGGAGAGGAUGACAGGCCACCCUGGAACUGAGACACGGUCCAGACUCCUACGGGAGGCAGCAGGGGGGAAUAUGGGACAAUGGGCGCAAGCCGGAUGCAGCCAGGCCGCGUGUGUGAAGAAGGCCUUCGGGUUGUAGGGCGCUUUCAGCGAGGAGGCGUUACUCGCAGAAGAAGCACCGGCUAACUCCGUGCCAGCAGCCGCGGUAAUAC
rnacentral:rRNA from 1 species